CUCAGCGUGUGUGCGUGUGUGCGUGUGUUCAAGGGCUGGGGGCUCAAUUGUGAGAGGUGGCCCAGGGGCCGGUUAGAGACUGGGAAGGACGACAGAGGCAAGACACGCAGCGAGUGCUCUCGCGAGAGUUCACCGAGUUGAUAAAAUUAUUAAAACACAAAAUACACAUUUGCGUGAGGGGGAAAAAAUACCCGCUUGUCCGUCCUGUCCCUUCAGGCUGCGCAACGCUGGAGGGCGAUGGGAGCUCCACACAGGUGGGACGAGCCUAGCAGUGAUGCUGCCUGGAGUUAAAGGAGGCCAGGAGCACCAGAAGCUGGAGGAGGCCGGGGUGGAUUCUCGCCUGGAGGCUUCAGUGGGAGCACGAGCUCCCGACACUUCGGUUCCAUCUCUUGUUUAAAGGCACCCAGUUUCUCAUCAUUUGUUACAGCACCAUGGAAAACCCACACACAAGUGAAGCCCCGACCCACCUCCCAAGUGCCCAUCUGAGCACCCCUCGUGGACUCUGAGCAGGGGGUUGCCAUCACCAACUCCAAGUCUUGCAGCCCCUCUUCCCUUCAGUCUGGCUGCCACCUUCUUCAUUGCCCUGGAAAAAAAUAAUGAAGUUUCACCAUUUAAAGGGUUUCAGUGCAGCUUGCUAUGGGAACACUGGAGAGUAACACAAAUGGCCAAUUGUCCUAAUAGCCACCAUGGAUUGGAUGGAUGCUAACAACAGGCUCACAGUUCUCCUUCUGUUGCCUCCUUUUAUCCACAUGAGAAUCAAACAAGACUACUGAUUAAAUGAAGCCUUUGAUGAAGUGCAUGCAGUUUGUAGCUUGAUUCAUGGGAAUACUCAUCACAGACUGAAAGUGUAACCCAGGGUCUCUGGGUUUUUGGGAACGCGCUGUGUAAAAGUAUCUACUUGUAACUGUUACUCCCUGAGUUGUUGUUGUUUUAGAAAGUUCCAAGAAGAAGCUUAGCCUUGGAAAAAACAAAAACUGGUUGAAUCCAGAAGUGGAGAUGAAUUUUGGCCAACGCUCCUCACUGCCACACUAAAAACCCUGCUCAGAGAGGAGCUUAUUCACCAUGUUCUAUUCAUGCAAUGUGUGUGGAAACAUGAUCUACGACAGCAUGCGUGCUGCCUUCACCCUACCUCUACAUACAAUGACUCAUUUAACCUGCUGAAUAAAAGCCCUGUUUUCACCUUUGCUGGGGGAGGUGCCGCUUUGGGAACUAUUCGCAGUGUCCUCUUCACUUUUUGCAAGUAAUAGAAUACCCUUGUUAAAUCCUACUUGGUUGUGGUCAUUAUAGUGUCACCCGCCAAGCAAUCGAUCCCACCCAGGGUUAACAAAUGCGGGAUAACAAAUGUCAGGUUUUAGGCAAGUUACUUACUCGCUCAAAAUAUGAAGAUAUAAGUUACCAUCAGUUGUCAAUCAUGGUGAGCUUUGCUCUGCUGCAGUAACAGACAAUCGUAACUCUUAGUAGCUCUAAAUGACCAGUUUAAAUAACACCUCGUCUUUGUAGUUUUGAUAGCGACAGGAGGCAGCCAAAUGCCUAGGCAGGUAGGGGCAGGUUCCCCGUGAAACUCCAUCUCCAAGCCGAAGACAGUUUAGAGCCUGAAAGCCAAGCUCCACAUUAAAUCCUCCGACUGGAUUGAGAACUUGUCUUCCUGUUUAGUGUGCUUUUCUCUCAUUGGUCCCUGCCAUUCACCUAUUUCAUAUACACCUAACCUUUUCUAAUUGGUUUUCUAUACUGUCAUGCCCAACUUUGAGUGGUCUUUGCUUUAACCUUUUCUACAUAUUCACAAACCGAUCAGCAUGCACCCCCCAUUCUGAGUCCAUGAAAGGCUCUGGAUCUAGCCACACAGAGGAACUUUCCCAUCUUCAGGUAGGGGGGCCACCACCAACAUGUCCCCUCUCCACCAAAAGCUGUUUUCAUUGUUCAAUAAAAUUCUUCUCUGCCUUCCUCACCCUUCAAUGUCCAGCAUAUCCUCAUUCUUCUUGGGCAUGGUACAAGAGCACAGGAACCACUGAAGGUGGGUACAAGUUAUAAUACAGGCAAGUGGGGGCAUGCCAGCUUUGGCUGAGUGAGGACCAGGUCGAGCAUUACUGUCAGGGGAUCCCUGGCUUGCAAAGUGACCAAGAAGAAAAGUCUUACAUUAGUUUGGCUAGGGUGAGGCCCUGACCUCUGUUACCUUCACUCGGCCAGCUCACUGAUGGUGACUCUGUAUUGAUAGGCACUCCACCCAGAAAUUGUGCACUGACAUUUCCUGGCCAACGAAAGUUACUCAACUAUGCCUGAUUUUAAACUGCAAUCCUAACAUGACCCAGAAGGUGAAGAGCCAGAAAUAUUUGAUGACUACACUGAGCCCACUUUCCCUCACAGGCUUGUUUUGCAGGGUUAAUGAUUUAAGCCAUGUGAUGUAUGGUUCACAGGGUGCCUGGCACCUGCCAAGUAUUCUUCCCCCAGGAGUUGGCAGGUCCUUGAAGGCACUCUCUGGUUUAGAUAUUCUUAGCUCCUUCCACUGUUCCUCAUGCUACAUUAUCUUAAAUCUUUUUAUUUUUACCAUCCUGGUUCGUCUCCUCUAAAAAUCCUACCCAAAUGUCCCUGUUAAUUCAUGAUCCACCAGAAACAAACAAUCUUCCAGCUGAAUACAGAACCCAAGAGAACAAAAUGAUCUCCUUCCUUCUUCUAGAUUAUGCAUCCUAAAAUCUGACUGUUUUUUCUUUUCUGGCAAUCAGAGUGCACUGUUGAAUUUACUGUCAAUUAAACAUUCUCCAUCUCUUCUAUGUAUUUUUCUGUAUUUAGACAUUUUUCUCCAAUCCCAUACUUGUGUCAUUAGCUUUUCAGUCACAAAUAAAAGAAGUUUCACAUUGUUCCUUAUUAAAGAGCAUCUGUUUGACUUGGCCCAUUCUUCCCAGCAGUUAUAAUUCAGACCAAGGUUGUUCUCAUCCAACAUUCAAACAAACACUAUGGAAUGGGAGAGGUAUGAAAGCAUUCAUCCCGACAAACAAUGGUCUCACCAUUUUGGAAGGCAUCUUUUUUACUUCAUUUUUUAACAGCUGUAUUAAUAUGUAACUGAGGUACAAUAAACUGAAUACAUUUAAAGGGUACAAUUUUUAUAAGUGUGGACCUUUGAAUACACCCAUGGAAC
rnacentral:lncRNA from 1 species